UGCCCGCCCAUUUUUUGACCAAAAUUUAAACUCCUGGCUUUUCACAAAACUAAUCGUUUUAUUUUGGGAAAGAAAAAAUAGAUGUUCAGACUCAACCUCUCUCUCUUCUCUCGGAGGCCCAGCUCCCCAACGCUCUCUCUCUCUCUCUCUCAUACACACAUAAACGCCAGACCUUCAAGAAACCACCCAUUUAUUGAUGGUGAACAAGAAACCGCAAAGAACGAAAAGCACCGCAACCUCAAGAAAGAGCUCCAUCAAUCCACAGAGCCUGAUCCUCUUGCUCCUCAGAUGCUCCCUCACAACCUCCGUUUUCAGAUCUCCGAUCUCUCUCCUUAGCGGCUUCUCCAUCUCCUGAAUCACAAAACCAUCAACUCCGGUCAUCAAUUACAGAAACAGAUCGAAAAUCAAUUUUUAUGGUUUUUCUAGCUGCUGAGCUUGAACUUCUUCACAGGCCUUUACUCAGAUGGGUGUAUUUGGUAAAUUACAACCGACAAUAAAUCCAUGUCGUCCUCAGCCCUCAAGUCCAAGAAGGGAAAGACACGUUAUAUAUCUUCCUCUCAACGUCAGUUCGAUCUCUCUCUCUUUUCUUGUUUGUUAAUAGUAUCUGAAUUGUGUGUGGGUCAGAGGUCGGUGAAGAAGAAAGGGCUGUAUUCUUUACCCCCGGUCGUGGCAGGCUUCUUUAUCACUUGUGAUCGUGCUGCUGCUUUAUAUGCAAAAGUAUCCAAUUUCUCUCUUAAUGUCUAUGGUCUGAAUUUCUCGGAUUAAAGCUCACAUAUUGGAUUGUAGAGAAAGAGAGUUUAGGGGUGUAUUGGGAUGGCUUUUCGUGGAGAUGCAAAGCUGGGUUUUGGAUGGUAAAUUACCUAUUUGCGUUUUUGGAUGGUAAAAAAGCUGGGUAUCUCUUUCAUGAACUGCAGAGGCUGCACUGAAGGAAUUGAGGAAUAGACCAAAUCAAAGUAUUGCUUGACCAACAAGAGAGGUUGUAUGAAAGACAAGCUGAACUACAAGUUCUACUGGAAGCUUCCAAAGGUCCUGGACCCCCUGUUAAUGGGGCUUCAACAGCCACAAAAGGCUGGUCUGGAUCAUCGCGAGUGCUUGACCUAGAAGAGAUUCUCGAGUGAUGCGGCCGGGACGAUGAUUCCGAAUCACCUACUGCAGAUUCUCAUGAUUUACUUAACGACAGCGCAGUAUUUCUUCGGAGUAGAGUUGAAAGGGUAGUAUCUGAUUGCUCUGACGUUGGUCUGUUAGGGGAUCAAGAUUUUGGUAAGUUCACUACAAGCAGAUUAGUUUUUGCUUUACUGGACAGAUGUGGGUUUGUGACAUUUGGUGCUUUUACUUGCUGCUUAAUGUGAUUGGUUCAAUUUUUAGAAGCAUAUAUGGGACGUUUUGAGCAGGAGCUUAGCUCCAUGGAGGCCGAGAAUGCUAAGGUUUCCAAUGAAAUUUGAGGGUCUAGUUCGAACCCAUGAGGAAGAUGAGGGUACUAUCUUGGUCUGGCAUGCUACUGCACAUUGACUUGUAAAUGACACAUAAUGGGAUAAUGUUUUUGUUUCUUAUGAGUUCUGUUUAGGUAGGGUUAGUUUUGAUUAUGUUCUAUCUUUUAUCUAUCGUUAACUAAUCAUACUAUUAUAGGUGUAUUAUAUUCUUUUCCGAUGAUCUAUUGGCUUGCUUUGAGGAGGAAAAGGUAGCAUCAGAAGUUCUCUUAGCUGCACCCUGGUAAAAAGUACUGUUUGAUUACACAGAUCCUACGCCAAAAUGAAUGCUUUUUUGCCUCAAGGGACAUGUGUGAAGUGAUGGCAAAAAUCAUGGAAGUCUAGGUUGCUAGAGCUAUUGUUAGCAUGAUUGGUCAGUUUGGUAUUGAGUUCUACUCUGCAUAUCUUGUUGCUGAGAAGGAAGAGGAAGGAACUGUAUAGAGGAAGUUGAUGGAGAGAAGGAAAUGGACAAGUACAAUAUGUUUCUGGCCUUGAUGUUUUUGGCCUUUAUGUUUAGGUAGGAUUAGUAUGUUGAUGUUGGGAUGAUGAUGUAAUGAACUGGUUUUGAAUGUUCAAUCAAUGGAUGUGUUAGUCAAUUGG